rnacentral:sRNA from 1 species
GCAGCAAAAGGAAGGCAGAGUCAGAAAGGAGGAAACAGGAUGUGAGGCAGAGGAUGAGAGACAUUGUAAGAAGGCGUGGUGGUUCCCUGAUAGGAAGACUAUGCUUAAAGAACCAUCUCUUACCAAGUCUGAGCUCACGUCUUCACUGUAUUAAAGACCCAUGUGCUGAUGACUAAGUCAAAUUCUUAUUUUGUUACUGAGCCAAACAUAAUUUUUUAAGUUUAAUUUGGAUAUUUUCCCCCUUCUUCUGUCAUGUCUGUGGUUUAAUAGGUACUGUAGAAGUCAUUCUGGAGAUCAGUUUCAGGAGUUGGGGGAGGAGCACGUUCUCUUCUCUAUUCACUUUACAUCGCAGUAUCAGCCCCCCUUCUCCUCCCAGUCCCUACCUCACAUGCCUCUCUCCCUAAGCCCCCUUCCUUUCUCCAAGAAGGGGGAGGCCCUCACCCCAUGGGUAUCACCCCGCCCUGGCUCAUCAAAUCACUGCAGGAUUAGGUGUAUUCUCUCCCACUAAGGCCAGACAAGGCAGCUCAGUUAGGGAAAUUUGUUGUACCUCACUUAGGAACCGGAAGUUCUGUUAUUGAGAACCAACACUGUAUUCGAUAGACUUCUUAAGUACAAAACAGCUUGAAUAUAAAGUAACAGUCUCAUGUGAUGGGAAUACACCACGCCUAAAAGUUUGUCUCUAUUGUGUUCUCCCACUCCCAUUUUGAUUUUUUUUAAUUUCAAUAAUGAAUUGCACUCUGUAAAAUAGAGCAAUUUAAUACAGUCUUUGACAUUUUUUUUUGCUAACAAAACCAUAUCCAUCAUGAGCUGGCUGCUUUUCACAUAGCAUCUGUAUUCCAUGCUAUAAUCCUACCUUACACGUUAUGUUUAUUUUUGAGCUAGGAAAGUAAAGAGUUAGGAAAGUUCUCUAAAAAUUUAGACGAAUAAUCAGAACUUGGAUCCAAACCUGAUUCAAAACUCUGAGACUAUUAUUUUUCCCCCUGCUUAGACAAAAUCAGACAUGCAGGAUAUUGGCAAACUAUGGCUAAAAUAUCUAGGUUGGAGCUUCCGCUGGAGAGGAGGAAGAGAAGGCCUUUCAGAAGGCUCACUAUUGCACAGUCUCAGAUUGGUUUCUCCUGCACGAAAAUCACUGAAAUUGGCAGGACGGAAAUAGAUGCUACUGGGAUCUUACUUUUGUGCCUCUGUGUAGUGCAUCCAUUAAUUACACAGAUGAGACGCAUUCGCCUCUUCCAGCAUGUAAUAACUCACCAUACAAUAGGGGAGUAAGAUCAAGUCGUACAUUAAGCACAUUGCAGAGUGAUUUAGUGAGGGCAGUUUUCAAUUGUGAAGAGCUCAUGUAAGUCAUUUUUUAGACCUUGAUGCUGAUUCAAAACCCACAGUCUAAUGUGCCAGGAAGAUCAAAUGUCCUCGGUGAACUGAAUGAAUAGGCAAACCUGACAUAGGCAAUGCUUGUGUUCAAACCUGGAAAGGCAGCGGAUCCUUUCUUUUCAGAAUUGUUCAGGAAAUGGUCUGAUUUAAAUUUCAAAUAUGUAUAUGAUUCCUAGCUUCUGAAAUGGUUUUCAGUCCUGUUAUAUGUAUUCCGGUUUUUAAAUAUAGCUUCAACAUGACGCCAAGGCUGAGUUCCAUUUUAAUUGCUCCUUGUUGAUUUUGAAAUCUGAUAGGCUUGAUUAUUGCCUCUAAUAACCCUGGGGGCAGUGGUCAAUUGCUGCCUUGUCCCGAAGAGUGACUGGGAUGCUUCCAAAAUGGAGAGGCCUGUAUUGUCUGUUCUGCACUCCCUAGCGCUGGAAGAAUGGGUGGCUUGUGGUUGAAAUUCCCAUUUGUUGCCACUCAUAGUUGAUCAUAAAACAUUCAUCCUACAGGGGAGUGCUCGCUAAUAAAUAUUAAUGCUUUGCUGAGAGGCUGAGCAGAAAGACUUUCUCCUCUUCUGAAAGUGCCUCCGCAUUGCGCACUAGGCAAAGGAAAACGCUCCAGUUACUGUGCUGAUUUUCAGUGGCAGGUCCUGAGGACUCAGUGCCGUGGGGGUGGGGAAGACACAGCAGCUCUGUGAGAGUAAAGGGAGACUGGAGUAUUGGGGAUUAAAUGAUGUGUGACAGUGGACCCUAGUCACUUGUGCUGGCUUCCUAUCUACCUGCCUCUGUCCUUCCUUCCCUUCUUCCCCACCACUCAUAUUCAUUCCUGACUCUACUUCAAGACUAUUAGUAAAAGUAACAUUUUUUAAGUGGGGGGAAAAGGAAGGAAAAACAUUGUGAAGUCAACUGAGCAUUUCAUCAGAAUAUGGAAGGCAAUUCCAUUGUCCACUUUUUUUCCAUUACCGAAUCCUAAGCCCAGUGGCUCGUCAGUCUCCGGACAUGUGGCAACCCUCUCUUGUGAACAUAGAUCGGCAGUGCUUAGAGGAUGCUGGACACCUGCAUCAGCCAUGGCAAAACUGUCAAAUUUGGAUUUCUCCAUUAUCUGAAUCCCUUUUCUUUUGAUCUUAGGUGUAGCAAGUUAUAGGUUGCCAUAUUUUGGCAGAGAGGUUUUCUGAUGAACAAUAGAGGGUAGAAAUCUGAAAAACGGGAAAAAUUCCCCAGUAUUUCUGUCCUCUUUAGGGGAAGCUUUACAGAGUCCUGGAACAUCCCCAACAGCAUAAAUCAAGGACGGAAUUGCAGUUCUGUCUAUGGCUGUUGGAACCCGAGUCUCUUAAUUUGUAAAAUGGACAUGAUAAAACGACUGACCUCAGGGGGACUGGCUCAGAUUGCAUGGGCAAAGAACCAGGCAUGAUGCCCAGCUCCUAGCAAGCAUUGUAGAAUAUUAAUUCCUUAGCCAGCUCUGCUCUGUCUUACCAACUAUAUGCUUCCAGUUGUAAAACAGCAAUCAGAGCAUAAUGUGGGACAGACCCCCUCGCCUUUGUUUUACCCAAGAGACUUAGAUCGAUGUGAAGCAAGGAGGGAAAUAUCAACCGUCUGCUGGCAAAAUGUGCAAAGCAUGGCGUGUCACCUCCCUCCAGGCCUCUAAGAAGAUGAUGGCUUGGAACUAUUUGUUGAUUAACUGAAACGUUGGAAACAACUUCCAUCCUUCCGAGAAACGUAUUUUGGUCUAACGUGCCUACCAAAAUCCACUUAAUAUUCCUUAUUACAAACUACACAAAAAUAUGCCUGCUGUCCUUUUCGAGUUACAGUCUGUGUAUAUAUUCAAAGAUUUCCCAAUCCUUCUUGUGUAUUUUCCAAAUCGAACAAACACUGCUUUUGUAAUAACGGGAAUACAAAUGAACGUCUCCUUCUGACAGGUGUUGGAGGCAGUACAGCACAGCCAGUUUUUUGCUGUUAAUAAUUUAUAGGGGGAGGAGGGAUGCCUGUCUUUGGAGGGGUGUGCUGUUGAGUGUGUGGUGAUGUUUUCAUGGUACACUGGGUGACUGUGCAUGCGUCUCAGUGAGGACUUUGGGAAACAGAUCAUAACCUGAACUGAAGAAUGUUGAAUAGUGUCCCAAAUGCCUUUUAAUCAGUUUUCAUGAUGAGCAAAUAAAUCAACUUAGAAGUGGACUUCAGCACCUUCCUAUUCUCUGGCCUUCACCGGUCAUGGUGUGUAGGAAGCUGGUGAUGGUGUUGGGAAGAGGAUUUCACAGCUCAGUGAAGCGAUCCCCGUGACCAGGAACGACAAAUAGCAACAAGCUAGAAGAAGGCACAGUAGCCUCAGACCAUGGAGCUGCCCAGCUGUCAUGUGACCAUCACCUCAAGAGACCUCAGCUUCCCAGUGGCAGGAAACCAUAGCAUCUAUGUGUUUGUGAAUAGAAAGGCACUCUGCUGACAUUGAUGAAAUGAACCUCAUGUUCAGGUCCUCUCCCACCCCAGUUCUAACACUGAAAUCCUAAUCUGCACGGUGAUGAUGUUCAAGAGGUGAGAUCUCUAGGAGCUAAUUAUGUCAUGAGGGCUGAACCCUCAAGUAUGGGGCCUGCUUGAAUUAAAAUACCAAUAAAAAGGAAACCCUAGAGAGGUCCUCAGUGUCUUUCAUCAGGUAAGGUCCCAGUGAAAAGGACCAUUGCAGCCACAGAACUUCAGAUGUGCUUAGAGAUGAAAUUGUCAUAAAAUAGGGAGUGGAGAGAGUUAUAAUUAAUUUUCUGUAUUUUCCUGUGAAGUCUAGAUUCCAUCAAUCCCGACUCAUCUUCAUCAUGGAACAUUUAUUAAGAUUGAGGAUCUGGACUGAGUUCUAAGAAUCCUGCCCCUGAGCCCCUGAUAUAUGCCGCUCAGGCUUUUUUCAGAUUUGAGAUUCUCCAACACCAGCCAUGGACCACUAUGUCUGGCCUUGUCUUUUAGUAAGAAUAGUUCUUUUAUCCUAAUGAAAGACUUGAAAAACAAGCACUAUAACAAAAGAGCCAAGUAGAUCUUUGCAUAUUGUGGCUUGUCAGUUAUGGAAGAAUAAAGCAGAAUGAUCAAAUUCAAUAAACCUUGAUGACAGAUUUAUUGACUAGCUAGACUAAAAUUAUGUUUUCAGUGUACUGUGUAACCUGCCACUUUAAUUUCCAUUGAAAAAGGAAAUUUUGACUGUAUAUCUUUUUAAAAAUGUAAUUAACUCAUGAUUUGCUUAUACACACUAGUGGGGCUCAGCAUAAAUUUCUGUAUGUGCAUAUAGCACAGAUCAAAUCCAACUCCUCCUUUUCAAACAUCCGUUCUUUCCUGAUCUUAGUGAUCAUUUUUAUGUCAACAUUUUAAAAGCUUGUGCAUAUAAGAGAGAUGGCGGUGUGCUUGUUUACCUGUGUCUUGCCUAUUUUACCUGAUGUCACUGAUUCUGUUUGACUGUUGACAGGAUCUCCUUCUUUAUGUCCAGGUAAUAUUUAAUUAUAUAUGUGCACACAUAUACAUAUAAAUAAUCUUUAUUCAACUAUUUGUUGCUGGGCAUCCGGACUAGUUCCUUGUGUGUUGUAACUAGUGCAGCAGACUUUGGUGUGCUGCUUUGCCUUUCUUUGGACAUAUCCAGAGAACUGGUAUAUCUAUAUUUAGUUUUUGAGGAACCUCUAUAAUGCCCUGCGUACCGGCUGGAAUAAUUUAUAUUAUCGUCCCCAGUAUAUGGGUUUCAUUUCUGCACAUCUUUGCCAGAACUUGUUAUUUAUUUUAUAAUACCCGUUUUCAUCAUAGUUGGGAUUUAUAUUUCUCCAAUGGGCAAUGCUUUUCAGUGUUUUAAUAUAUUAAACAACUAGUUUGUUUUCCCAUUUUAGAGUUACAUUUGCUUAAAUUGUUUUUUAGCUUCUUUUAGAAGUUUUUAGCUUAAUUUGUCAGAGAAGCAAUGGUAAGUGUCCUGUCCCGUUCUGUAUGAUGCCUCUUCAUCCUGACGCUUCUUGUGCUGUUCAGUCCUGAGUUUGCUUUCUUUCCAACUAAUAAUAGAGCUAAUAAUAAAGCUUUCCUUUUGUUUUCUGCCAUUACAGGUCCUCUGCAGAAAACCACUGCCCCUCCAGGGGCCUUCAAGCGCUCCCUCUUUUUCAAGUUCUAGUGGCUUCUGAUCUCACACUUAAGGCUUUGCUUACCUUCCCCUCCCCCUUCUAUUUCAAUGAUUUUUUUAAGUUGAAAAUUGGUUCUUUUCUCACAUAAUAUAUCUUGAUUACUGUUUCUCCUCCCGGUUUCUCCCCCAUCUCCCCUUUCCAUCUGGUUCUCUGUCAAGUACAGAGUGCGAGAUGAGGGUCCAGUUUGACUCCUUUGGGGAUGCACCCUUUUUGUUUGUUUGUUCGUUUUUGCCACUUGUCUCUUUCUUUGCCAAUGCCAUGCUGUCUAGGACACUGCUGCUCCACAGUAGUUCUUGAUAUCAGAUAUUGUGACAUUUCCAGCUUUUAUCUCCCCAGGAUUCUUUUGGCUAUCUGGGGUCCCGUGGUUCCAUAUGGACUCUAGGGUCAUUACUCCUAGUUCUCUAAAGACUGUCACUGACCUUUUGAUAGGGAGUAGAUGGGACAUUAAAAGAAUAUUAAUUCUUCCAAUCUACAAACACGAGAAGCCUGUAUAUUUUUAAUGACUUCUUACAUAUAUUUCAUCAGUGUUUUGUAAUUAUUAUUGAGUUUUUUCCAUGUUUCUUGACUGUGUAUUCCUCAGAAUUAGCCCUGGCAGCUGUUCAUUGAGUCAUCCAGCAUCUACCUAUCUCUUGGGUUCAGAGAGGAAGUGCCUGAUCAGGCCCCUUCUGUAUAACAAUACGAAUCCUUUAAUGAACGUCUAAUUUAGUCAAUCUGGGGUACUGUUGACACCUCGGUUGGGAGGAUUGGUCAUGAGUUUAUCUAGAUAGAAUUUGGAAACCAAGUAAUCAUUUAGGAAAACUUUCAUAAUACAAAUUGAACUUUGAAAGAUGGACUUAAAAGUAUCAUGCUAUAUAUAUUACAGACACUAGGAAAAGUCACAGGACAGAGCACUCCCCAGG